CUGACAUAAGUAACGAUAAAGCGGGUGAAAAGCCCGCUCGCCGGAAGACCAAGGGUUCCUGUCCAACGUUAAUCGGGGCAGGGUGAGUCGACCCCUAAGGCGAGGCCGAAAGGCGUAGUCGAUGGGAAACGGGUUAAUAUUCCCGUACUUGGUGUUACUGCGAAGGGGGGACGGAGAAGGCUAUGUUGGCCGGGCGACGGUUGUCCCGGUUUAAGCGUGUAGGCUGGUUUUCCAGGCAAAUCCGGAAAAUCAAGGCUGAGGCGUGAUGACGAGGCACUACGGUGCUGAAGCAACAAAUGCCCUGCUUCCAGGAAAAGCCUCUAAGCAUCAGGUAACAUCAAAUCGUACCCCAAACCGACACAGGUGGUCAGGUAGAGAAUACCAAGGCGCUUGAGAGAACUCGGGUGAAGGAACUAGGCAAAAUGGUGCCGUAACUUCGGGAGAAGGCACGCUGACACGUAGGUGAAGUGAUUUACUCACGGAGCUGAAGUCAGUCGAAGAUACCAGCUGGCUGCAACUGUUUAUUAAAAACACAGCACUGUGCAAACACGAAAGUGGACGUAUACGGUGUGACGCCUGCCCGGUGCCGGAAGGUUAAUUGAUGGGGUCAGCGCAAGCGAAGCUCCUGAUCGAAGCCCCGGUAAACGGCGGCCGUAACUAUAACGGUCCUAAGGUAGCGAAAUUCCUUGUCGGGUAAGUUCCGACCUGCACGAAUGGCGUAAUGAUGGCCAGGCUGUCUCCACCCGAGACUCAGUGAAAUUGAACUCGCUGUGAAGAUGCAGUGUACCCGCGGCAAGACGGAAAGACCCCGUGAACCUUUACUAUAGCUUGACACUGAACAUUGAGCCUUGAUGUGUAGGAUAGGUGGGAGGCUUUGAAGCGUGGACGCCAGUCUGCGUGGAGCCGACCUUGAAAUACCACCCUUUAAUGUUUGAUGUUCUAACGUGGACCCGUUACCCGGGUUGCGGACAGUGUCUGGUGGGUAGUUUGACUGGGGCGGUCUCCUCCUAAAGAGUAACGGAGGAGCACGAAGGUUGGCUAAUCCUGGUCGGACAUCAGGAGGUUAGUGCAAUGGCAUAAGCCAGCUUGACUGCGAGCGUGACGGCGCGAGCAGGUGCGAAAGCAGGUCAUAGUGAUCCGGUGGUUCUGAAUGGAAGGGCCAUCGCUCAACGGAUAAAAGGUACUCCGGGGAUAACAGGCUGAUACCGCCCAAGAGUUCAUAUCGACGGCGGUGUUUGGCACCUCGAUGUCGGCUCAUCACAUCCUGGGGCUGAAGUAGGUCCCAAGGGUAUGGCUGUUCGCCAUUUAAAGUGGUACGCGAGCUGGGUUUAGAACGUCGUGAGACAGUUCGGUCCCUAUCUGCCGUGGGCGCUGGAGAACUGAGGGGGGCUGCUCCUAGUACGAGAGGACCGGAGUGGACGCAUCACUGGUGUUCGGGUUGUCAUGCCAAUGGCACUGCCCGGUAGCUAAAUGCGGAAGAGAUAAGUGCUGAAAGCAUCUAAGCACGAAACUUGCCCCGAG
rnacentral:rRNA from 1 species